UUCCUUCCCCAGCCACAGACGCGUCCCUUCUGAUGUAUUCUGGUUGGUUGAGCCCCAUCAGGCUGUUUCAUCUCCAGCCUUUCUCCCUGGACAGGGGUAGGGAAAGGAGUGCUGGAUUCGGAGCUCCUCCGUCCCUGCGCUGCCUCAUUUUCUCCUUGGGGUCUGGCGCACAGUGGCCAUUGCAAUACACCCUGAAGACUGAAGGAGCCAGCGCAGAGCCAGGAUCCUCCUGCGAGCCAUGGCCCUGGCUGCCCUGCUGAGCCUCUCGGAACCUGGGCCAUCAGGGGUGGUGUCAGAAGUGGGGUUGGAAGUAGAGCUUCUAAUGACCCCCAGAAGCGCUGAGUGACCUAGCGAGGUACCCUCCAGGCAUUGUGUCUCUUUCUCUCUCGGAGCAGCUGGGGAUCGUGUGUAUUUUCACCAGGUAAAGAAAGCUUUUUAUGGUUCACUGACUGAGGACAAUCAACCCCUUCACAAUCUAGAACCUGAAGACUGGAUCUUCUGAGAACAUCAGAGAAAGACUGCCCUUGCCAUCCACACUGCAGUAAACAUCAGAACCGUGAACUUUGGCUUCAUGAUCUCACAACUGAGAAGGAUCCCUCCACAUUCUUGGAAAUAUACACCCAUUGGAACCCGUAAGGUAAAGCUAACCAGGGAAGUUUCUUCCCAGAAGAAGAUGGUAUCCUUGAUGUGAACAGCUUUCACCAAGAUCACAGAUCAAGACUUCUCUGCUAUAUGGAGGCUCUUAUCUCUGAGUAUUUUUUCCCUUGCUUAUGCCUCUAUGAACAGUAGAAGUGAAAAGGGGGUCUGUUGUGUGCACUUAUGGGGUAGGUAUACUUUUAUUGGUGAAGGGUUUUGCAGCCAGCCUUAUACAUGGAUAACCUCACACCUUGACAGAUGAAAGAUGAAGGCCCAGUGUAGGUGAGAAAUUUUAAUGGUACAUAGGUUGCCUCAUAAUCAGUCAGAAACAGAACAUUGAUUCACUCCCCUAUUCCACAUCAUGGGUUAAAGAGAACAUUGCCAGGAGGCCUUCAGUCUUCUAGAAGGGCAUUUUUCCUUAGGUCCUUUUUACCAUGAUUUGGAGUAAAACAGGCAAUGAUUAGAAAUGUAUCCCUCAUGAUAGGCUCUAAACAGAGUCUACUGUAAGGGCGAUGGUUACACAACAGAUUUUACAUUCUUUUGUGAAAGUUAUGCUUAAUAGUAGGAUUGCUGUAGAUUACUUACUGGUUAAACAGAGAAGUAUCUGUGCAGCUGCUGGCACUUGUGGCCUAUGGAGAAAUACAUCACGUCAGGUGUACAGAGAUUCAGUUGUAGGUAAUUAAUGAAGAGACUGCUUAAAUGAGUAAACUCUUUAUUUAGCUCAUUCUUUGAUCUAUUUAAUUUUGGGUGGUUUGGUUUAUGGGGACCCUGUGUAAGGCGCAUACUCCAAACUCUUGGUAUUAUCCUCCUGAUAGUCAUAAUAGUAGUCUACCUGGUGCACUGUAUUCUCUCGAAAGUUUUAAAUGUUUGCAUGCAGCCAUCUCUAGAAUGUCAAAUUGUCUCUCUUCAACUAGAAUGACAAGAUUGAAAGAAAUGUGUGACCAUGAUGGCAUUUUAACCUAUGAAUGAUGUGUUGAGACUGGAAACCCAAAAUGAUGGUAACUGAGAGUGGCGCUAAGGCCCUAAGCUUUGGUCACAUUCUCACCUAAGUGAGAACCUGACCAAAAAGGGGACAUUUUUAAACAAAAUCAUGGGAGGCCAUUGUUUUGGACUUUAAUGAAAGGCUAAAUGCACUAAGCCCCAACAGACCAGACCAAACCAAAAUGGAGUCACUUGUGCUAAAUGUGACAUGAUUAAACUAAGACUUUAAGGAAACACAUAGAUCCUAAAACAGACCAGGUUUUGUUUUUUUCUCCUAUAAACAGAAUGUUCCAACAAAAGGAGGUACCCUGUAAUCUAACCCUUACAAAAAUAAAAUUAAAAUAAAAUAAAAUAACCUGAAAUCCUUGUUCCCCCUUACAAAACUCAUUGUUCUGCUAUUUCCCAGGGGGUUUCAAGACCAAAUAAGUACAUUUACAAUGGUGAUAGUGGCAUCGAUGACUAAAGUUUUGGUAAAUCUCUAAAAAUUGAGAAGAUUACCAAAAGAGGAAAAUUGUUAAAUCAAGUUUAGCCUAAAGCUGCCUCCUUACAUAUUUUAAGUUUGGCCUAAAGGUUUCUCUGUACAUCGUGAACUAUAACAAGUGGAGGUGUAAACAGCCUACACUUGUGUCAAUCACCAAGUUUCGGCCAAUCAUAUGUAGCCAACUGUUCAAACUGUGUUCAAAUAAGGAUACACCCAGCCGUAACCAAUUGGGUGUUUCUGUACCUCACUUCUGUUUUCUGUAUGUCACUUUCCUUUUUCUGUCCAUAAAUCUUCCACCACAUGCCUGCAAUGGAGUCUCUGAGCCUACUCUGCCUCGGGAGGCUGCCUGAUUCACGAAUCGUUCAUUGCUCAAUUUGACUCUUUUAAAUUGAAUUCAGCUGAAGUUUUCUUUUUUUCUUUUUUCUGUUUUUUUUUUCGAGACAGAGUCUCACUCCGUCACCCAGUCUGGAGUGCAGUGGCGCAAUCUCAGCCCACUGUAACCUCCUCCUCCCGGUUCAAGUGAGUCUCCUGACUCAGCCUCCCAAGUAGCUGGGACUACAGACAGCAUGCCUGGCUAAUUUUUGUAUCUUUAGUAGAGACAAAGAGGUUUAGUAGAGACAAAGGGGUUUCACCAUGUUGGCCAGGCUGAUCUUGAAUUCCUGACCUCAAGUGAACCACCUGCCUCGGCCUCCCAAAGUGCUGGGAUUACAGGCAUGAGCCACCGUGCCUGGCCAGAAGUUUUUCUUUGAACACUUUUUUUUUUUUGGGAAGGAGUCUCGCUCUAUCUCCCAGACUGGAGUGCAGUGGCGCGAUCUCGGCUCACUGCAAGUUCCACCUCCCGGGUUCACGCCAUUCUCCUGCCUCAGCAUCCUGAGUAGCUGGGACUACAGGCACCUGCCACCAUGCCCGGCUGAUUACAGGCGUGAGCCACUGCGCCCGGCCUUCUUUGAACACUUCUACGUGGAAGUGUGAGGAUUCAAUGAAUAAGUUGAGCACAUGGUACAUGUUCAGUGAAUAUUUUCUGAUUGUGUUCAGUGUUAUCAUUAUUGGAAUGAUGUGAGGGUUGUGUAAGUCUUCAGAGACCAGGGAAACAACUGAAAUCUUCUAUGAGUCAUUUCUAUCAUUGUUUAUCCCCAUUCCUUUUCUUUUCAUUCAUUUUUGCAUUUCUCAUUUUCUGUGUUAUUCCCUUGCAUUCUUAAAAACUUUCCCAUUACCUGCUUGCUUCUUGUAUUCUGUGUACUUUCCUAUGUGUUCCUCAUUCUGCAGUCUUCUUCCCUUUCAAGCAGCAGACCAUGUGUCAACGUAUGCAGAGUUUGUGCAGACACACAGACCCUCUGGGGAGUAUAUGUUUGAAUCUGAUGAAGAUGAGCAGUUAUUUGUGCACCUGGACAAGAAGGAGAUGGUCUGGCAUCUGUGACAGUUUAUUCACACUGUGAGGGGCAGAAAAUGAAGGGACCAGGGAUGGAAAGGGAUGGGGGACAAAACACUAAGCUGGCAGUCCUAACCCCACUGUGUUUAUUCUACUCCAGGUGUCAAACUUUCUCAGUCAGAAGUUGACAUAAGGAAGUCACCAGCUUUGGUCUCCUUUAAAUCUCCAGGCCUAACUUUUUUUUGAAUCUCUGCUCUUCAACCACAAUGACUUAUGUACCCCAAGACCCCUCUACCUCCUGGCUGCCUAUGAUCCUCCUGCACCUAGCACUCAGCAAAGGGUCUGACAUUUAGAUAGCCCUCAAUCAAUAUGAAGAAUUUAAAGUGUAGUGACAAGGUGGUGCCCACACUGGAUGGUCUGUAUGCUGUGGUCUCAUCAGGAACCUUUCUCUGCACUGCAUUUUUCCUAAGAAAUCCCAGAGUUCAAUAAAUACCUGUGUAUGUCAGAGCUAGACACAUCUGAUGCCUUUCUGUGACUCCUUAUAUUCUCAGUUUCCUAGGAAUGCAUAUCCUGGACUUGUAAUUGUAGGAUACAGGUGCAUUAUGGGUGCAGAUACCUCAGUUUUGCAUCCUGCAAGAGUUAGUCUGGAGAUUGUUUACUCCACUCUGGGUACUGCUGACACCUACAGCAUGUGUCCAGGGGACAAAAAUGGAAGGAGAUGACUCUGAUUGGAUAGUGAGAGGAACAUGGGUAGCUCUGGGAAACUGACCAGGGAUAGGUGCCCAGGGGCACACAAGGCCCAGAAGCUGCUUGUGAGAAGUCAGGGAGAAGGAAGCCAACAACUGGAUGUAUCAGAGAGCCACUGAGUGCUCAUUAUGUGUAUCAGGAGUUAAGAAUCCAUCCUCUACACGAAAAGGAAAGCUUAGACCAAACAUGUCUUCUACCUUGAUUUACAGUAACUUAAUAUGAAAUGCAAAACACAUAACAAUUUUGGAUUGUAAAAAAAAGAUCAGUGUUUGAAAGAGUGCCACACCUAUUGCUUUGCACUUUCAACAAUGGGGAGGCGUUUCUCUCUGUAUGAAUUAUUAGCUCAGGAGGUCUAGGCUGGUGAAUGAAUGCAGACUUAGAGGAUAAAUGUCGUCUACUUGAUGCAUUCAAAAGGCCAAGCAACAUUUGGUUAAGGAGUAUUUGUGAUGGCAUGCAAAGAAAGUGUUGAAAGUGUGUUAGAUUAUAUUUAUUGUUUUAAAUUCUGAUGCUUAUUUAAUUUCUUAACAGUAAUGCUAAAACAUGCUCUUAGUAAGUUAUAUGUUGAAUCAGUGCUAUGUUAAUAUGGGCCCUAUAACACAGAUUUGCAGUCUGUUCACCACUGAAUAGCUAAGAAUAGUGGUUUCAGACCUAAAUGGAUGAAGACACCAAACAUGAUGAUGGGGCAGCUCACUGAAAUAUAGUAAAUCCAGGAGAGGUCUAUGUCCAACGGGCCACCUUAUACAAUAGUUUGGAUGGAUUUUCAUGGUUUUCUUCUUUCUUAUGUCUAAACCACAAUGAACUUCUUUAUUAACUCUUACUGUUUGCCAAAACCCUCAAGAAAAAAAAGUGAUGAGACAUGACUUGGUAUAUAUUCUUAACAGAAAACAAUCAUGUUGGGUUUUGAUUAUUCAUGGCACUAAGGAGAAAGGAACUUGGUUGGAGGCCCCAUGAGAGAAAUCAUGCAUUGAAUCCAGGAACAGAAUCAUAGAAACUGGCUUCAGUGCAACUACUCAGCAGCAGCAUCCUCUUGGGAGGCUGGGGGUCUGUCCUCGAAGCAGAUACUGGGACUAAAGAAACAGAAAAUGCUUGUUCCAAGGUACAUUAGUCUUUUAGGCAAGGUCAGGAACCCUGUGGAGGUAAAAACAGUAAUCCCAGGUUGCUGGCCCCCUUCCUUUAAGACCCAGGAGAGAAAAACAACGGUGAGAGGCUGAAUCUCAGGCUGAUAAAGAACAGAGUUGAUCUGAGCUUCCUUUAGCAAUGGAGCCAUGCAAUGCUCUUUCCCCACUCACCCCAGGGCUGAGGUUGAAACAGGGGUUCAGGCCUGAGACUCUCUUCCUAGAGGAGCUCAGUGUCACAAUGUACAGAAAGGACUUAUGUCCUCCUGUAACUCCCCCAACAAGGAAAUCAAAGCAGGAAUAUUGCCUGUUUAUGCAGAUCCUUGUUGAACUGAAAUGAAAGGAAGAAAGAGAAUGUAUUCAGCUACUGAAACCACCUCAGACAAUUAGAGAAAUGUUUCCAUCACACUUCCAUUGCCCAUCACUCAAUGGACGCUCUGCAGGAGCCUGAGUAACUGCGACCUUAUGCAUCUGGCUGCAUUAAGAUGCCAGGCUGGGAUUCCUCUCUCCUUAGAAGCUGUCUUUGUUUCCUGACUAUGUGAUUUCAGCAAGCUCUCUGGCAUUGCUUUUUUGUCUCAGCCCCUCAUCAUGGAAGAAGGGUGAGCAAGUCAGGAGAAAGGUGGGUAUCGGUCACCUCACAGGAUUUCUCACCUUUCUUGCUCCUUCUGUGCGUGAAGAUGUCCACUCCACAGAUGAUGAGCCCCAGCAUGAAGCCCCUGGCUCCUGUCAGCAUCUUGCUCUGCACAAAAUCAGACUGUGCCUCUAGGAAGAACAGGCUCAGGUUCAGAGUCACCUCCAGCAGCUGCACCCCUGCUCAUGUCCUGUCUGAGAUCCUGCAGCCUGAUGCAGAAUAUUGGCACGAGGAGAGCGAGGGGAAUACACCUUGCAUGACAGGAAAUUGAGAAACAGUCACUCUCUCAAUUCUAGAACAGAGGGUGUGACCUCAACAACAGACAAAUUCAGAUUCAAUUAGUUGCCUCUCAAAAUAACUUAGAAUAAGCUAAAAGGCUGAAGGAAGACAACAGUUCCCAUGUGUAAGGUCAGUUCAGGAAGGUGUCUGCAUCCCUAGAUUCUUGGACAAGGAGAGGAACUAUGAAUCCUUAGGACCUCCUAGGCCGGGGGCAGGCAAGUCUCCAUUGUCCCCAGGUUAAAACUACACUCAGGGUCUUGUAUAGAAGAAAAAUGGGGUCGGACAUGGUCCCAGGGUAUAGACACAUAAAACCAGAUGAGUGGACCCCAGAGCCAGAGAGUCCCCUGCUCUUCAGAGGUGGAGUCUAGAGGGUCAUCAGACCCUCACUCCACUCCACGGUGACAGGACUGUCCAGGCUGGGGUGCUUCACUUGGCAGGUGUAGAUGUUUCCCUGCUGGGGGAUCAUUUCCAGCAUCUCCAGGAUCUGGAAGGUCCAGUCUUCAUUACGGAUCAGCUUGGUGGACAUGACCCCAGCUGUUUCCUCCUGUCCAUUCAGGAAGCAUCGGACUUGAAUGCUGCCUGGGUAGAAAUCUGUCACGUGGUAGACAAGCAGGUCGU